CUUCCCUUCAAACUUACGGAACAGUCUGUAAAACUCGACCAAAAAUAAUUAUGUCUGGAGUCAAGGGACAGACGAAAUGCCCAGAUCCAUGCCAAGAUCCUUGCCCACCACGAUGCCCACCAACAAAGCAAUGUCAGGAUCCUUGCGACCCAUGCCCCAAGCCAGUUCCUCAAUGCCCAGAUCCCUGCAAACCGGCUCCCCAGCACUGUCAUCAGGACGUGAAGUGCGUGAAGAAGUGUUAAUAUGAUGGAAUCCUGUGAUGAAACUGCUGUCUGCUUCUUUGCUUAACAAAUGAUAUCUAGCGCGACAUCUGAAAAACAAACAUUCCGUUGUCCUUUUAAUGAUUACCUAGUGGUACCCAGUUUCCUCUGGUGACAACGCAGUUCACCAUUUGCUGUAUGAGCCAAUCAACAUUGAAUUAAA